GCACUGCUGAGGAGUCCAACAAUAGGACGGAACGACCGUCCGGUGC
rfam:Schistosoma mansoni strain Puerto Rico chromosome 4, complete genome